rnacentral:lncRNA from 1 species
GAGCAACUUACCUAAAAUUAGUUAACAACCUAAACCCUCUCAAACCCUUGAUUACAACUAAUAUAACACAAGUUUUGAUGCGCACUACAGAGUCACAGACUCAUAGCUAGAAAUCACAUUUGUAAAUUAUGACAUAAUAGAUCCAAAAGCAUAAGAUAAUAAGCACUGGCUAUGGUAAAAUCUAUAGGCAUUCUUCCCUUUAAACAAUUCAACAAUGAGCACAACUACACAAGUCAGAAGUGCGUGAAAAUAAAACACCAUGAUAAUUUUAAUCUCUAACGACCC